UACAGAGGCCUCGAGCGUUAGGCGGAAUCACUGGGCUUAAAGCGUGUGUAGGCGGACUUCUAAGUACCUUGUGAAAUCCCACGGCUUACCCGUGGAACGGCUGGGUAUACUGGGAGUCUUGAGCCACCUAGGGGCGAGUGGAACAAAUGGUGGAGCGGUGAAAUGCGUAGAUAUCAUUUGGAACGCCAAUGGUGAAAACAACUCGCUGGGGGUGUGCUGACGCUGAGACACGAAAGCCAGGGGAGGCGAACGGG
rnacentral:rRNA from 1 species